GGAGAGGAGAGCCACUGUCACUGUUGCCACUGCUACUGAAACACACCACCCACUGCCUCACUGUGCUAACAUCCAUUUGUUGGUCUCUAGAAACACUCAGCGAGCAUCAGUCUUCCAGUAACAAAUGUUCACUCAAAACAAAGAUGGAGAGGAACUUUACAAAGGCAUGUAGUGAUAGGACAAGAGAUAAAAGCUUUAAUCUAAAACAGGGUAGAUUUAGAUUUGGUGUCAGCAAGAAAUUCUUCACAAUAAGGGUUCUGAGGUACUGGAUCAGAUUGACCAGAGAGGCUGUGGACAUCCCAUCUUUGGAGGCUCAGGCCUACAUUGUGUGGGCCUCUGGACAGCCUGAUCCUAGUGGGAAGUGUCCCUGCCCAUAGCACAAGUUUUGAAACUAGUUCAUCUUGAAGGCCCUACAAAAACCAUUCUGUGAUAUCAGAUGCAUGGAAAUGAAGUAUGGUUGCUUGGUAAUGAGGGUACUUGAUUUAAUGUGUGGGGCUUGAUUUCAGCUAAAAUAUACUGGCAUUGUCAACGUCCAGACUCUCCUAAUUUAAUGUUCACACUCUGGGUAGGCUGUAAGAAUAUCUUCACUGAGUUGAUGUUAAAGUCAAAAUAAGUCAUUCACCAUGGGACUAUAUACAGAGCAUCCGUAGAUGAACACAUACGGAUAUAAAGCUAUUAGAGAAGGAAGGCUAUGGACAUUGAGAAAUGUCUGGAGGGCAAGAUGAGGAGCAACUGAGGUCUCUGUGUGUUCUCUGCCCCGAGCUGAGCAGGCUGGGGGAAGGCCUCAUGGCAGCUGCAGCUCAUCAUAGGAAAUUCAGCUCUGUGUUGACAGUGACAGGACCUGAGGGAAUGGCAUGGAGCUGUAUCAGGGAAGGGUCAGGUUGUGGAAUCUCCUUCUCUGGAAAUUAUUAGAGAUCUUUCCUGUGCAACCUUCUCUAGGAAAUCUGCUUUAUCAGUAUUUGGUCUAGGUGAUUUCCAGAGAUUCCUUCCAAUCCCUACAUCAUUUUGUGAUUAGAAAAAUGUUAUUCACUAAGAAGGUGGUCAAGCGCUGGCGCAGGCUCCCCAGAAUAGUGAUCACAGACCCAAGUUGCCAGGGCUCAGGAAGUGUUUUGACAAUGCCAUCAGACACAUGGUUUGAAUUUUGGGUGAUCCUGAGUGGAGGCAGACUCUAGUUGAUCCUCGUGAGUCCCUUCUAGCUCACAAUAUUAUAUGAUUUUAUGAAAAUUGCUGAAUAUAGAAAGGGACAUCCAUCCAUAAUAAUUCAUAUAAGUGAUUAGUAACUCAGUUAAAGCCUUAAAUCCAUAUAUUUUCAACAAAUCAAAGAUAUCUCUAUAAUAAAAAGGUCUGUGUGCUGUUUAUAGAGUCUUUAAUAAGUUGAUCAACUGUAUACUUGUUCCUAAUCUAUCGCAGGUAAAUUCUCUUAACUUGUCAUGUUUUGUGGGGUUUGUGUUCGUUGCUGCAUUUUCUUGCUUUCUUCAUGAAUUAGAGCCUGUUCACCCUUAGCAAUCCUCUUCACUGGCCUGUAAGCUUGCUAGACUCAAACUUGUGGAGCACUAUUUUAUUGCAAGACAUUUUAAUCUCCUUGAGUCACUUAGUUGCAUAAGUCAUUAUGAUGUGCUUAGAAGCUUCAAGGUAAGGUAUUUUUACUGUCCAGUUUGUCUUGUGCAACAAACAUUAUGUUAUACAACUGAGAUAGCUAAGGACAUUAAGCUAUGCAGUUUGUUCUCAAAACAGCUGUAGCCUACAUGUUGUCUUCAUACUUUGGAAAACACUGCAUUUACUAAUUCUUGAAAUGACAUAUGAAUAUUGAAAAGGCUGACCAUAGAUGGGACUCAGCAGUGAAGACUGUACUUACAGUUUUGCUAGAUACCUUCUGUGAGAAACUACUGAGAUCUUCUGAUUGUACAAAUACCACUCUUAUGACAGCUGUUGUGUAGCACAUCUCAGACCCCAAUUCUAUUUGAUUCACACAGGAUGUUUUAGUACUACACUAACUUGUUGGCAAUCUUUCUUUCCCACUCCCAUCAGCCAUAUUACUAACCUUUGGUGUGGUGGAGUCAGGAGAAAACAGCAUGUUCUUGAGGCUUGUCUACCUCAUUCUUAAAGUGUUCAUAAGCUACUGGUGGAUGUUGGACUCCACUACUCUAGUGGCAAUCAUUAUAGCUAAAGUGCAGAUAUGGCACUGCUUUUGAGCCAAAGCUGUGAAGUGGUGAAUUCUACCACGGAGCUCUGUCAAUUUGUAGGGAUGUGGAACAGGCUUUUGCAUUGGUCUUGCAACGAUGUGGAAGAGGAGCUUGUUGUUAGGGCUGGUUAGGCAUCUGGCCAUAUGCUGAUGGGCUUAAAUAAGUUCCCAGCUGAGGAGGUAUAGCAUGGAACUGAAUGUGUAUGUUUUAAAAAAUGAGUGAAUGUGUGUUUCAAUAGCAAAUAGUAAAAAGUAUUGCUUUAAGAGAACACUAAAGAGUGUUGCCUGAAAAAGAGAAACUGAAAAAAGAAAAAAGAUACUGUCACUGCCCAUUUCACAAAGUCACCCUGCUCUUUUGUUGAACUGGAAAUAAAAUCUGAUGAAGAAACUGUACAUUGUGGUGGCUGGGACACUCCAUUGUUGUGGCUGGCAGAAGACGGAACAGCCUGUGUUUGUAAUGUCUUUAACUGCUGCAGCAGUGUACUGCAAUACCUAUGAGUCAGAACCCUAAUCUCUUUCCAAGCACUCUUUAACCCCCAGAUAGAAUGCGGGAGAGUGUUAUCACAUUCAAAACAUGAUGAACUUAUUGUCCUGUUUCGUUUAUAAGAAGACUUCAAGGCUUCUGCUAGUCUGAAAACUCCUAUCUCAAAGGAAGCUUUAUGCUUUGUUCCUGAAACAGAGUCAUCCAAACUAUAUUUUAAUGAGGGAAAAAAAAAAUCUUUUUAAGCUUUAUUUAUUUAUUUAUGUGUUUGUUCUUUCACGUGUGAAUGAAGGAACAGAACUAGAUACUCAUAUUGAGUAGCCUGAAAAUAGCUCAUUCCUGAUAAAGAUAAUCAGGAUUUAAGUUCUGGUGACAAUCCAGUUACCUAUAGUUUUCAAAUACUCUGUUAAAAACUAUCAAGAAACAGAAAGGAUUUUCUUUCUUUCACUUUCCAUACUCUGUAUAAAACUGUUGCAGUUACUCAGCUCUUAUGAAUUUCUGGUAAUUCUACCACUUCCUAAAAUUACCUAGAGUUUCUCUGUCAAAUGGGUUUAAUGAGGACUUUUUUGCUCUAAAAUAUACACAGAAUGAUCUCUUAAGAGCAAUGACAUAGAUCUGCAAAUGGGAGGCCAUUCCCAAAAUUAGGGAAAGAUUCAGUUGUUCUUUGUUAUCUGAGACAGUUAUUGAUGCCAUAAAGACUUUCAAAGGACAUGAAAACACUUGAAAACUAUUACUGCAAGAUAUUACAAAGAAGGAGGCCACAAAAUCUUGACAUGCUAAUACUUAGGAAAAAUUAGUUAAGUAUAAAACCUCAUGUUUUGGUUGUUCAAGUUACAACGUGAAAGUAUCAAUGAAAAUAGACCAUCAAGGAGCAGUGGAGUUGUACUGGAGAAGUGUCUGCCAAACAGAACUAAAUCUAGGGGACUUGCUAAUUCCAGUUAAUAUAAAAUAGUCAUCUGUAUUACUUACUGGCCUUUUGUUUUACAUCCUAUUUAGCAAAAUAAAUGGAUUUUUGUGGGAAUAUCAGGGAUGUGUUCCUGUCCCACAGUAUUGCCACCAUUUACUCUGAUAAACGCUCAUGAUAACAUUAAGGACUGUGGCUGUGCACCUUUUGCCUCUGUUGCCAUCAGCCUUUUCACAGGGCUUGACACUGUGAACAAAUUAUCACACAUUAUUGCACACAGAUGCAACUCAUAUUUUAUGAAAAGUAUGGAUGCUGUAUGCAUGCUGAAGUUUCAGUUCAUGUAUGCUAGCAGUAGUUAACGCUACAUGCUGCAAUCUGUGGUAUGUAGACUGCCAUGCAGCACAGGUACAUAACUGUACUAAGCUUCAUGGUUAACUCAAUAAGAAGGAUUUAAAAAAAGCACAAAACACCACAUUUUGCUUUGAGUUUCUGAAACUCCGUUUAGACUGGAUCCUCUAUGAACCAUUAGCAAGGAAGAAGACAAGUUUAUGAGUGGGUAGAUAGAAGUGGUCUGAGCAAGAGUGGGCAAAUAACUGUCCCCUCUGUAACAAAAAAAGAUCACAUUUUAAAGACAAGUGGAAACUAGUAUUAGCUGUUGUUUAAAAGAGCCCCUGGAACAAGAAAACUAAAGCAGCACCAUUUACAAGAAAAUAUGCUAAUACAGCCUACUCUUAAGGGAAUAACAAGAAAAUAAAGAAGUCUAGUGACAGUGUAAUUGAGAUGUAGUUACAUAAAGCCUGAAACAGACAUAAAAGACUGGAAAUUUCUAGAAAUCUCUUGCAAAGCAAUCAUUAUCCUGCAUGACAGUAAACAUUUUGUUUGUUCUUAAAAAGAUUAAUAAACAAAAAUCACAGAAGUGGUGCAUUAUUGUUAAUUAAUAAAUUAGGAUUUGUAAUCAUAACUCCCUCCUUCUGUUUGAUUGUUGGUGAUAAACGUUCUUGCAAGGGGAAAAAAUGGAUGUAAUCUGUGAUUACAGGUAUCUCUAUCCUCUCCAUCUUCUUCCUGCAUUCAGCUACACUGCUGUUUCCAGCUACUUUCCUAUACAAAGCAUGCUGCUUAGAAAGGACUGAGCUUGCUGCCUUUUCUGUUUAUGUGGGAGAUAGCCAGUAGUAAAAAUGGACUCAGUGCCUUGUUGCUAAUGCUUGUUUCUGCCACCACCUUACAUCCCUCAACUUUUUCCUCAGCUGCCACGGUUAUGCAAGUAGAAGAUAAAAUCAACUGACUGUUCAGGUUGCAGAGGACACUAAGGAAGCUGACUGCUGUCUUCUCAGCACAGGCAAAGCAGCUGUUCUCGAAUAUAAAGAUGAACCUGAGACCUGACACUGACUUCUCUGUUCCUAGUUAGUUAUGAAAAUCUGUCUGGGAGAAGAAUGGAGAUCUGCAUUUUCAAGGGAAGAACAAAGGAGAGUGAAGAUUGGAGACAGUACAAGAGCAGUUGUUGUGGAUGGCCUUGGAUUUCAGUCAUACUGGUCCCUGAUUCCAAAAGAGAGAAGAGUGGAAGAAGGGGAGUUCCAUUUCCUAAAACUGAGAAGCAUCUGCUGGAGUUAUUAAGAGUUUUUUGACCAAGUUCAACAGCAAGUCACCUUAUGGCUGAUGGAUUCUUCCCUAAGCAAUUCAAAACAAUACAGUUAGAACAAAUUUCUCCUUUCUAAAGAAGCAAUAUUACGAGGCAAAAGCUAUUUUUAUAAGUGGGAUAACUUUGCCACCGCUCCCCAGUGGUAAUAACUGUUAAGCUAGUUUUAGCUGCCUGGCUAACCAAGGCUUUUAUAGCCCCACUUACAUUAUUUAAAAUACUUUCACAAGUGAUCCAUUCAUAGAUAGAGAAAUCUUUCAAAUGACUCAUUUCACCUGAAAAACACAAAGGCUUAGAAACACAAUUUCUUAAGAAGCUUCAAAGCUGACCAAACUGAGAUGUCCCCAUUUUCAGUGAUUGUUUAAGGUUUUCCUCCUGCAGAGCGAUUUAAAUCGAGGUAGCAAACUGUAUAGAUGAAAACAAGCAGACUUUCAUCUUAUUUCCAAUGUUUAUGACAGACUGGGCGGCGCUUGGAGGAAGAUGCAUGUAAAAACAGACCGUAGGGUAAAAUACUGGCAAGUCUUCAAGUGCCAUAAAUUGGGCAUGCGUCAUGCUGAAGGGCCUCCUUAGCAGAGAAAAACAAUCCUUGUAGAUGCUUAUCUCAGAGAUGUUGCAUGAAACGGCUAAGGAUUUUGAGAGAAGUGAUUCAGGUGAUGGACUUGUUACGCUUUCUCUACAGAUUGGCCUGUACCAUUGAAAAUUAAAGAAAAUGUGAUGACAUCUUUUUCAAUAGGGAAAAUAUGCUCUUUGGAUUGGGUUAAUUAAAUCACAUUAGUUAAAUUUAGCUGAGACUCAGCCAUUUCUUCUGUCUAGAAGCUCUUCAUCACUCCUGGGGCAAAUUUCCAAAGCCCUCAGAUUCACAAGAUGUUGUUCUUGCAAUGUUGAGAAGUGAACGUUUACUUAAUGUACUGCUCAAUUCUUUUUACUCUGUGAACUUUCCUGCUAAAAAAUACAGCCAAUUUACAACGUCUCUGAUUUUGAUGAAUUUUAACUCUGUAUACUAUACCUUUUCUAUAUGCUGAAGAAAUAUAUUGUUCACUUUUUCAAAUGUUCAGCCACAACAUAAUUUUGUACUGUGGUGAAGUUUUGCUCAGAUUCAGAUAAUUAUGAUGUUAACUAGUUUUUUCUCCUUUCCCUUCAAUUUCUGUAAAAAAAAACUUGAUGUUGCCCUUGUUUUGCAUGUUGACAGUAAGAUCAGAAUAGCUAUCUCUUCACAAGGAAGCAUUUAGGCACUAAGAAAUUAAUUGUAAUCAUGUAAUCCACAAGAAUUGUAGAACUGAGGUUGAUGGGCUCUUCUGACAGGGUCAGCUACAUCAGGUUGCUCAGGGCUGAGUCUGACUAGGUUUGAAUGUUUCUGAGGAUGGAGGCAACACACCACCUCUGAGCAACCUGUUGCAGUGUUUGAACAGCCUCUGAAUAGAAAAGAAAAAAAAGAAAAGAAUCACAUGGUUAACUUAAAUGGCUUGUGUUUCAGCAUAUGCUCACUGCCUCUACCACCUUCACUGGAUAUUAUUAAGAGUCUGACUCCAUCUUCUUUAUUCUCUCCUAUAGGUGAUGUAUGCACUUUUAUAAUAUCACCUUGGGCCAUCUCUUUUCCAUGCUAGACAGGCCAGCUUUUCUUCUAUGUGAGAUCUCCAGUACCUUCCCUGUCUUUGUGUCUUGUGCUGAACUUGCUCCAGGAUACUGAGGUCUCUGAUAAAAUAAGGCUACUGUUGUUUCCCAGAGUGAAUGGAGAUAGCUCUUCAAUAUGAAAAACUAUGAUGCUUCCCAACUGGCUUAAGACUGUCAGUAUUCUGGGCAUCUUAGACCCAGCCUCAGUAUCCAGACGUGCCUCACCGGUGAUAAGCAAAGAGGAAGUAUUUUGCUCCUUGGCCUGUUGGCAAUGCUCUUCCUGAUGCACUGCCAAUGUGCCUGCAACCCAGGAUAUUGCCUGACUUGUCCUACUUUGCCUCAAGGACAUGUAUCUUGGUAUCUGUUCAUACCCAGCUGCAGCUGUUGGCAGGUCUGAGCACACUGCUGCUCUGGUCCUGAGCCCACUCAUAGGUUCUUUGAUAAGUGAUGUUAUGCCUACAACUCUGGAUGGAUAUAAUGCUGUGGCUGUGCUUCUGCUUCUGAAAGCACAAUGCUGCUACUGAAUUAUCCCAGAAGAGAUUGGCUGUCAAUAUUUUCAUUCUUAAGUAUGGCCGGUGGACAAUCUUUUUUGUUUUUCUUUUUACUAUUUGCAACAGCACUUGCCCAGCAAAGAAGAAACUGGGCUUCUUGUUUUUUUGGCAGUUCCAGAAAGCUCAAAAUCACAGCUUCCAGAAAAAAACAAUUUCGAAUUAACUUCUUUUAUUUCCAGGCCAGUGCAUGCAUGCUGUAGAACAGGCCUGGCAUGGUAGUACUUUUAAUAGCUCAGCUAAGCUGGAUGCUGUUUGCAGGCCUGCAGCAACAAGCUGCCUUUCCAGUGGUGUUCAGAUACAUUGGCAACUGCCACUUUAUAAGCAGACAGAGAAUCACCCAAGCCCUUGAGCCCUCCAGUUGCCCAGAGUUACUGAUGCUUUGCAGGUUCUAAUAAAGACGAAGGGUUACACUAAGCCUGGUGUGGCCAACCACAAAUCUAGUGACUUCAAAAGGUUUCUUCCCAUUGUCACCUCCACUGAAUUUAUUUUAGUCUCAGUGAAAUAAUUCUUAUUGAGUACAAAUUGCUUAGAGAGAAGCUAGUGGGCAGAACUUAACUGGACAAGUUAAACCUGUCAAAUCUAUGAUAAGUGAACUAAAGGCAAUCUAUCUAAUUUACUUUUUUUUAUUAAGAUUGUGGAAGUUGGAAUAGCUGCACACAGUAAAAUCUUUUUAUUUAUUUAUCUUUUUUUAUUCAUUAGAAACUGCAGAUCCUGUUCAGGAAAGUAUGAUGAGGACAUAUUAGAAAAAUGAAUUUCAAGCAACUUACCUGUAUUUAUUGCAAAAGCAAUUUGUCUUACUACACGGAGAGAGAAAAGAGUAUAAAAGCCCUGUCUGUUUCUCACUUUACUCUCACGAGACUGUGGAUGCAUUUAACCAGAGAGGGGAUACAACCAGAGAGAUGACUCAGACUAACCAAAGAGCUAUUCUGUAUGAUGGAGCAUCAUGCUCAGCAAUAAAAUGGAGGGAACAGAGCUUAGGGUGACUUGUCAUUACUUUCUACCUCCUGCAUUUCAAAAUGUGGUACGUAGGAUCAGAUGUGGCUCUGACAGUGUGACAAGUGCCUUUGCCACUAUUACUUCAGUGUUUUCACCCCCCACAAGGUGACAUAUUCUGAUAUAUGAACUCUGCAAUGAAUGCUAGAUUUUCCUAUCAGCACACGUUUGAGAGUGUUUUGUACUGCUGCUUGGAGUAUUACAACAUUUCAUGCAGAAAGUAAGUUUAUCAUAUCCACAAUGAUAAAGGAAAGCAUAAAUGCAUGCUGAAUAUUAUUAUUAAUAGUUACAGUAGUACAUAAUGCAUUGUUUGUUAUUUGGUUGGUUAUUCCCAAAAUAAGGACUACAGUAGAGACAACAAAUUAAAGUUCAAACUGUGUGAAGAUAGCAGUCUAAGGACACUGCCACUACCAAUAAAGAACUAAUUAAACACAAAUAUUUGUGAUAAACAGGGGAUGAAUAUUUUUUUUACCCCUCAUGCAUUUUAUUCUAUUUCCAUUCCAGCUUCAUUUUUUUACCACCUGGAUUAGUUCUGGCAUCAUUGUAUCACAUUUUUUCUAUGUCAUUGUGUCAAUUCAUUGAUAUGAUCUGAUUUGAUCUACCCUACAUAAGGAACUAUCUUGGCUAUCACAGUAAACGGGCUCUGCAGAAUCACUCAAAAUGCUUUGUCAUUGGCUCUGUCUGCCUCUUGGAGCACAACCUGGCAGAACAAUCUUCUGUGUGCUCUAUUUGUUCCCAUCAUUCUCUCCUCCAUCAACAGUUGCUACAGAACUAUGAGAACAAUUUUUGUUUGUUUGUUUAAAUCAGUACUGGAAGACUGACAUGGGGAAGAGUUUCCAUGCACAGAACACCAAAGCAAUGGCUCUGGCAAAGCACACUCAUACACUUCUUGUCAGCUGCUUUGAAAGUCUGCAUGUGUGCUGGAAAUGAGCAAGAAACGCUUCCGCCUUCUCAGAUAAAUCAUAAUAACUAUGUAGUAGCUUCUUUUAUGGUAGCUGAGUUACUACUUUUAAGUACAUUUUGUCUUAAUGUAGUACUGAAAGCAGUAUUGGAAGCUCUAAGAGCUACUGAAAUUGAUCUGAGUUAUUUUCUUCAGCCUAAGAAGAACUCACAGCUGGAAAUUAAAAGCUGUGAAAAAGUGACACUGUUUCAUCACUGAAAUGCAUAGAUAUAAUUGCAAUUAUAUUUGCGGGCUAAACCAAAAGUUUUGAUUGUAUUGAUUGAAUGCUGUGGUACAAGUGGAGCAGGCCAAACUAGAAGCUGGCUGUAACUUCCCAUUAAAGAGAGACAAAGAAUAUCUGUCCAUUAACUGACCCAAGUUUCAUUAUAAAAGGAAACAAACACUUGGGUGAUAACUACUGCAUCUUUUUACAAGACAAGCUGACUCAUAUGAAUUACUCAUGUGUGGUUCAGCUGAAAUUAAUUAUGCAAUGUGAUUUUCAUUGCUAAGAUCUUCUAUGAAGCCUUAAAAUAAAAAUAUAUAUGA